rnacentral:rRNA from 1 species
GACGUAGGGCGCGAGCGUUGUCCGGAUUUAUUGGGCGUAAAGAGCUCGUAGGCGGCUUGUCGCGUCGACUGUGAAAACCCGCGGCUCAACUGCGGGCCUGCAGCCGAUACGGGCAGGCUAGAGUUCGGUGAGGGGAGACUGGAAUUCCUGGUGUAGCGGUGAAAUGCGCAGAUAUCAGGAGGAACACCUGAGGUGAAGACGGGUUGCUGGGCUGACACUGACGCUGAGGCGCGAAAGCUAGGGUAGCAAACGGG